rnacentral:rRNA from 1 species
CCAAGGAGUUUAGCGUGUACGCAAGUCAUUGGGUGGUUAAACCUAAAGGCGUAAUGAAAGUGAAGGAAACUCGCUUUCUGCGGGAAGAUGGGUUUAGUCUCUCUAUAGGACAGCCCCGCACUCCCGGGGCGUCUCUAUCUCAUUGCGAGAGGAGGCGCACCUAGAGCGUACACGCUGAUACCCGAAAGAUGGUGAACUAUGCCUGGCCAGGACGAAGCCAGGGGAAACCCUGGUGGAGGUCCGCAGCGAUUCUGACGUGCAAAUCGAUCGUCGGAGCUGGGUUUAGGGGCGAAAGACCAAUCGAACCAUCUAGUAGCUGGUUCCCUCUGAAGUUUCCCUCAGGAUAGCUUGCGCUCGGAAUGAAACGAGUCUCAUCCGGUAGAGCGAAUGAUUAGAGGCCUUGGGGUCGAAACGACCUCAACCUAUUCUCAAACUCCAAAUAGAUGAGAACCCCGGCUUUCUUGAAUUUUCAUUUAUGAAGCCGGGGGCUUGGAUCAGAGUGCCAAGUGGGCCAAUUUU